GGAAGGAUCAUUAGUAAAAUGAGGCUGAGCCGUUAGGCGAGGCUGGAGAGGGCUUGCCCUCUUUGAAGCAGACACCCGCGAGGGUGGCUGUAAAGACAGUGAUUAUUGCGACUAAAAACCAACCAUAUAACUUUUAACAAUGGAUCUCUUGGCUCCUGCAACGAUGAAGAACGCAGUGAAAUGCGAAACGUAAUGCGAUUUGCAGCACCUGUGAGUCAUCGAGUCUUUGAACGCACCUGGCACCGGAGCGACAAUCUCCGGUACACCUGUUUGAGCAAAAUAAAACGAGUUGGUUGUAAAGCAUCUUUUUAACUGAAAUGGAUUGCGAGUGCGGAUGCUCCGUGUGACGACAGGACCUGGUCUUGAACAACACUGGCAGCUCGCGUAUACCUCGCAAACAACCAUCUAUUCUCAAAUCAGGCGAGAAGACCCGCUGGACUUAAGCAUAUCAGUAAGCGGAGGAAAAGAAACUAACAAGGAUUCCCCCAGUAACGGCGAGUGAAGCGGGAAGAGCCCAACAUUGGAAUCGGGCCGUGAGGUUUGAGUUGUAGUCUGCGACAGUGAACAGGGAUGGAUUCUGUGUUUGAGUUUCCUGGAAAGGAGCACCAGAGAGGGUGACAGUCCCGUUCAGCACGGAAGAAAUCCUGCGUCAACUAGUCAGCGAGUCGAGUUGCUUGGGAAUGCAGCUCAAAGAAUGGUGGUAAAUUCCAUCAAAGGCUAAAUAUUGGCAGGAGACCGAUAGCAAACAAGUACCGUGAGGGAAAGAUGAAAAGCACCUUGAAAAGGGAGUGAAAAGCGCGUGAAAUUGUUGAAAGGGAAGCGUUCUGGGGUGCGCGUGGGGAUUGAUGAUUCUGCGGAUGAUUUAUUCCCAGUGUGGUGGGUGGGCGUGUGGCGGAACAAAGCGAACUGCAGUAGGUGCGUCAGCAUCUGUGCAAUUGCUCUCCCGCGAUGCAUCCACGUUGCCAUAUGCGCCCUUGAUCGACCCGUCUUGAAACACGGACCAAGGAGUCCAACAAGCGUGCAAGUAUUUGGGUGGCAAACCCAAGUGCGGAGCGAAAGCGAUGGGCACGAAAAUCCACGCGGGUUUGCAGUGCCGGCAGACGACUUGUCGUCGCGCAGAGCACGGGUGUUGGGACCCGAAAGAUGGUGAACUAUGCCUGAAUAGGGCGAAGCCAGAGGAAACUCUGGUGGAGGCUCGUAGCCGUUCUGACGUGCAAAUCGAUGGUCAAAUUUGGGUAUAGGGGCGAAAGACUAAUCGAACCAUCUAGUAGCUGGUUCCCUC
rnacentral:misc_RNA from 1 species